UACGUAGGGGGCGAGCGUUGUCCGGAGUUACUGGGCGUAAAGGGCAUGCAGGCGGUCGGACGCGCUUCGGGUGACAGCGGGUGGCUUAACUACCCGAGUGGUCGAAAGACGGUUUGACUUGAGGACGCGAGAGGGACACGGAAUUCCGGGUGGAGUGGUGAAAUGCGUAGAGAUCCGGAGGAACACCGAAGGCGAAGGCAGUGUCCUGGCGCGUAACUGACGCUGAGGUGCGAAAGCCAGGGGAGCGAACGGG
rnacentral:rRNA from 1 species